rnacentral:lncRNA from 1 species
CAGGAGGCUGAAGCACGAGAAUCGCUUGAACCCAGGAGGCAGAGGUUGCAGUAAGCCAAGACUGCACCACUGCUCUCCAGCCUGGGUGACAGAGUGAGACUCCGUCUCAAAAAAAGAAAAAAAAAAUUUUUUUUUUUGAAUAGGGAAUACUUUCGUGUGUUUCAGACUAAAAAAUUGAUUUUAUAUGUAUUUAUAAUUACACACAUAUACGUAUGCAGUAAAGUUUCAUUUUUACUUGUCCUUCAGCCACCAUUUCCUUUCCUCUUACACACUAAUAUUUUCAGUUUCUUAUUUAUCCUUCCAGUUAUUUUAUGGACAUACCAGUAAAUACACACAUAUAUUAAUAUAUCCAGUAUUUUCCCCAUCUCUUUUUUGCACAACCCCUUAAAUAUACUUAAAAUAAAACAGAACAACAAAUUUUUCGUAAACAAAAUUUAAUACAACCAUAUAGUCAAGUAAUAAUGGUUAAAAGACAUUUUAUUAGAUACAACUUUUAAAAAAUUAAACUAUGCAAGAAGUAUAUUUAAACAAAACAUGUAAGUAAGUAUUCACGUGCUACAACUUAACUAAGAACAAUUAAAUACAAAGCAUUCUUUCCACUAUGAAGACUCUGGAGCCUCUAAUUGAAAGCAAAUGACCUUAGGUCUAUACUAGUUGUAAAGCAGAUUAUACUUUUGUUCAACUCUAAAUUUGUAUUGUCUUAGAGCUCCAACAACUCUCAAUAAAAAUUUAAAUAAAGAAACCUUGGGGGAGGGGUGAUAGGGAAGGGGAGAGUAAGUGCUUUUUCAAAAAGGUAAAUGAAAAAGCCUGAAGAGGGAAAAAAUUGUACAUAAGUAUGGAACAAAAAUAAGUAUACUUUUUUGACAUUCGAUGUAGAUACUGCAAAUGAAUUUACACGGGUUUAAUCAAUGUAAGAUAGAUAUUUGUCUGAAUAUUUUAAAAAGCACCUAGGUAUCAAAAAAUAAAAACAAAAAAUAUAAUGAAACUCCAAACAUCCAACAAUCUCCCUUAACAUUCUCAUUCUGCCAAGCAACCACACGUUGGUGCUUAUUACACAAUUUAAGAAGGGGAAGUUUAUUUACUCUAUAGGAAACAAAUAUGAACCUUAUCUAAGGUAAGCUUCAUUUAGAUUGAAAAAAAAGUUGAAAUAGCACUAGAGAACUUAAGGCACAUAAACAAAUUCAGGUGCAGUUAUUUUGAAACCAUUAAAACAAAUUCUUUUCUUUGGAACAAUAUAUAAAAUAAGUUAUGAAUGUUGCUGUUUUUAUCAGCACUAGGAAAAUUUAAUAUCUAAGGCAAUCACACAAAUGUAAAAUGUUCAUAUAAAACAUUAAAAAAUGUCUAAAGUGUCUCUGGAAUUAUUCAUUCACACUCCUGGCUCAAAUGGUUUCUGGUGCCUAGCAUUAGAUGUGACAAUAAUGAUAGCUAGCUAGUCAAACCUACUGCCUUAAAGAUCAACCAAUUUGCUCCAUUCUGGUUACUUGGCAUGGUAAAUUUAUUUAACUAAAAAGAAUAAUGGGGUGAGGUGAUGUAAACCUGGCUUUCAAUAAGAUGCACAACAAAUUCUAAUAAGGCCAAAACUCUGUUGAGGUUAACUGGUGUCUUGAGUUUACUAAAAUAAAGGCAGUCCAUAGGAAGCCUCAAAGAGACAUUAUCUUACCACUUGGCACACACAAUUCAACUCCUCUCUUUUCAUAUAUGGGUUCUCACAGCAAUUUAAAAAAUCUAUUGCCAUAUCCAGACAACAGGAGAAAAAAAAAAUACCUGGUUUGCUUAUUGACAAAAGUGGUGUAAUUGAACCUUUGUCUUUCCUGAGUUUCAAAAAGGCUAUUUGACAGUAGAGAUACAUAAACAAUUCAUAUUCAGUAAGAUAAAAUGUAUCAGUCCACAAAACAUUUUCAUCUUUUUAAGUAUAAAAGAAUCAAUGUUCAACCACCACCAUGUGUGAAGCCCCUUUUUCCAAAUUAAACUUACUCUAGAAUCAUGAAUUGAAGAUUAUUCAGUCAUGGCACUUUACACCCCAAACGAGCAAAAGUAACAAGUUAAUACCCUCCCUGAGUAUUUACAUCAUCUUAUCACCUGGUUUAAAUGGAGUAAAUACCUAUAUUUCAAUCAUCUAGGAAAUAAAAAGGUUACUGAAGAUCCAAUACACUAGUAUUUCAUACCUGUGCAGUAAAGUCAGUGGGAAGAUUACAGUAGAAAAGGAGGAAGUUCUACUGUUGUAAAAAUUAGACCACUUUUGUAGCUGACUCACAUAGAGGAAAAACAGAAAAUGAUUAAAGUUCAUGAAAAAAAAACUAUACUUUUCUGUUCUACAAAGCAUACCUUUGAAUUCCCUUUCCAACUGAGGUAUCACAGCUGGGUUUAGCAAACUCAUCUCUUCUGACCUUGUAAAACUAAAUUGUCAUAAAGAUUCUGAUUAUACAUAAGUCAUCGUUACUAAUACUCAUCAUGUACUUUCAAAUGUAAAAAGUUCUAGAAAUGCCCAAAUAAAAAAAAAUUCCAGAAUUGAAUUUAGCAUGGUCAACUAAUUUUUACUUUAUGUGCUUUUUUGCUGAUCAUCACAGACUGCUAAAAUUCAUGGUGUUUGGUAUAUAUGUGUGUAUACAACCAUACUAUCUACAUACAUACACAUGUACAUAUAUAGAUUCUAAACCAAAGGUUCAUAUGAGCAUCACCUAUCAAAAGAAAAAUCUUUAUGUGAUGAGAGAAUGAAUACAAUCUGACACCAAUUUGGUUGAUAUACCCCUUUUGAUAUAUUAAUUCUACUCUAAAAUUCUUUUUUAUUUUAUCAAGUCUAAUGCUAUUAUUUAUCAAGAAUUAGUAAAGGAAGAUAAAUAUUAAAAAAUUAAAAUAUUAAGUUGGGUAACUUUAAAAAUAGUUAUUUAAAUUUUCUAAGAUUCAACCUAAGUUCUUGGUGGCCUUCAAUAUAAAUUUUAAGUACUUAAUUUAUGUAGUUUUAAAUUAUGUAGAGAAAAAAUUAAUAUUGGUGUGAGGUCUGUGUUUAAAAAAAUUCUGUUUUUCAGGAUUUCAUUUCAAAUUUACUAUAAUAAACACAUGGAUAUUAAAAUAAAUGUAUAACAAAAUAAAAGUAAAUAGUUAAUACUUUUUACAACAGAAAAAUACUAGAAUAUAAAGUUGUCUUGAGAAAGUCUUUUUUUAUGUGAAGUCCUAUAUUCAUGAAAUGGACAUGAUCUUACAAAUACACAUGAAAAUAACAACUAUCAUUUGUAGAAUCCUCAGCAUUUACAAAAUACUUUUUCACACAUUAUCUCAUUUACUGUAAAGAAUUUCUUAACUAAAUAAUUCUAUUAUCUAUAAGAGUAUAAUGCAGAUGUUUACUCUAAAAUUAAAGUACAAGUAUCCAAACUGUACCUACAUUCUUUCAACUAAGAGGAUAGAAAAUUGUUUUCUGAAUUGUUGUUAUCACAAAAUGGUAUCUAUCAUUUUAAAAUUAUGAUUUGAAAAAUAAAAAUUCCCUAAAAAUUUUUAAGUUUUUUAGAGUUUUCCUCAGAAUGUAGAUUCUAGCUAAGCAUUAAAGUUUAAAAAAUGUCUAUCUGAAAUCUCUGAAUCAUUCUAAAAUGAGAAAACAAUGUAGCUUACCAAUGUUAGGCUUUUUAUUUCAACCUUGGUUUUAACAGAAAUCUGGUGACACUUUAAUUACAUAU